rnacentral:misc_RNA from 1 species
CUGUUCCUUGUUGAGGCAAAUUGUAUUUCUGAAAAACCGUUAGUGUUCGUUGAAAUGAACAUUUGGGUCAACAAGGAACAGAUAUCUAUAGCUUCACUAGUAUACAAAGAUAAUAUCUAGUACAAAUAUCAAACUUUCCCCAAACUACAAUGUUUAAACAAUUAUUUUUCCAGAUAUAGUCAAUAAAACUAACAAACAAAGCCAAAGUAGCAAUCACCACAAAAUGUAUGUCUUCCAAUUGCACAAUCAGUGAGUAGAGGAUGGAAAGACCAAAAGAACUAUAGGGAAAACAAUCUGCAUUACUUCAGAUCUUUCCAAGAACAGAGUCAAGAUCUGGAGACAGGCAG